CAGUCGCCACGGUAAUACGAAGGGUGCAAGCGUUAAUCGGAAUUACUGGGCGUAAAGGGCGUGUAGGCGGCCUGGGGCGUCCCAUGUGAAAGGCCACGGCUCAACCGUGGAGGAGCGUGGGAUACGCUCAGGCUAGAGGGUGGGAGAGGGGGGUAGAAUCCCACGUGUAGCAGUGAAAUGCGUAGAUAUGUGGAGGAACACCGAUGGCGAAGGCAGCCCCCUGGGCUAAGAUUGACGCUCAUGCACGAAAGCGUGGGGAGCAAACAGGAUUAGAUACCCGCGUAGUCCCUGUCUCUUAUAC
rnacentral:rRNA from 1 species